rnacentral:rRNA from 1 species
GACAGAGGUGCCGAGCGUUAGGCGGAAUCACUGGGCUUAAAGCGUGUGUAGGCGGAUUCCUAAGUACCUUGUGAAAUCCCAUGGCUCAACCAUGGAACUGCUUGGUAUACUGGGUGUCUUGAGCCAACUAGGGGCUACCGGAACAAAUGGUGGAGCGGUGAAAUGCGUAGAUAUCACUUGGAACGCCAAUGGUGAAAACAGGUAGCUGGGGAUGCACCGACGCUGAGACACGAAAGCCAGGGGAGCGAACGGG